rnacentral:rRNA from 1 species
AUUGAACGCUGGCGGAAUGCUUUACACAUGCAAGUCGAACGGUAGAGGGGGCAACCCCUCGAGAGUGGCGAACGGGUGAGUAAUAUAUCGGAACGUGCCCAGUCGUGGGGGAUAACGUAGCGAAAGUUACGCUAAUACCGCAUACGAUCUAAGGAUGAAAGCGGGGGAUCGCAAGACCUCACGCGAUUGGAGCGGCCGAUAUCAGAUUAGGUAGUUGGUGGGGUAAAGGCUCACCAAGCCAACGAUCUAUAGCUGGUCUGAGAGGACGACCAGCCACACUGGAACUGAGACACGGUCCAGACUCCUACGGGAGGCAGCAGUGGGGAAUUUUGGACAAUGGACGCAAGUCUGAUCCAGCCAUUCCGCGUGCAGGAUGAAGGCCCUCGGGUUGUAAACUGCUUUUGUACGGAACGAAAAGGUCUCUCUUAAUACGGGGGGCUCAUGACGGUACCGUAAGAAUAAGCACCGGCUAACUACGUGCCAGCCGCCGCAGUAA